UGGUUUUCUAAUUUAAUAUGCAUUGGCAAGGUAUUAAUCGAAGAGGUGCCACCAAUUGUCAUUCCUGCUUGCAAAAAUCUAGCAUACCACCACUCUCCUCUUUUGCCAAAUGGUACUGUGCCAGGGCUUGAAGUGCAGAAAUGAGGCUGAGGUGACCUCUGCUCUCCUGAAGAUCACAGUUGAGUUGAGGAGACAGAUGGUACAAGAGAUCCCAGACCAACAGAGUGUCACCACACGUGGCAAUGAUGGCUCCACAGGAAACCCAUUAGGCAUGAGGGUGACGAUCAGGGCUGGGACUGCUUUGGACUAGAGGCACUCUCUGGCAGGUGUUUCUGAGCAGAGAACAUUUCAGGCGAGUCAAGGAUGAAUCGGAGGGGCUGACAGGAUUCCACUGAUAAUUCUUUGGAGCAAAAUGAUGCCUUUGCAACUUAGUCAUCAGCAUUUGGAAUACAGUUUCUCUUGUCUGAGCUUAAACUGAAAGAACCCACAGUCUGUGAGUUCUAGCCGUUUAGAAAAAUGGCAGCUGCCGUAAGACGUGAACUUGGCAUUUGAAAUCAGCAGAGAACGAGGAGUUAGUGUGAGCUGCAUGAAAAUCAUAUGCGUGAUUUUUCCUGUUUCCUGCUCUGUAGCUGACAUCAGGGGAGCAAACUGAACACAGGAAAAUGGAAAUCAACACUGGAAACUUUUAAAUGGAAGAUUUAUUGGGGUUCCACAUAUGGAAGACUGCAAAUAUCAGGAGUGUGUGACUCCGUAAAUUAAUCUGGAGUGACCAUAUGCUCUGACUGCCUCCCAGGACAAGAAGGAGAAUGUGGCCAACACUCCUGAAGGCCCUUUUCCCCUCAAAGAUAACCACCGGCUUGACUCCUGACACCAUACCUUUGUUUUGCUUCUUUUGAACUUCAUGUAAAUGGAAUCAUAUGAAUCACUGCAAUUGAAGGAAAAAUGUUCCAUGUUCCCUCUGCCAGUUGGUGUUUAUCAAAGGACAACAGAGGAAGAGAGACAAAGUGCCUGGGUGUGUGUGUUAAUCAAACGUUGUCAGGACCCUGCCUCUAAAAGAAAGGGCUAAGAUGAUGCUUUUGACAAGACUUUUCUCAAAGUGAAUGCAGUCUAAGGGUUGGAAAACAAGGCCCAAUCAGGCUAGGUCUGACCUGUUGCUUGCUUUUGUAAAUAAAGUUUUAUUGGCUCACAGACACA